rnacentral:rRNA from 1 species
ACUCUGGUAUUGAUUGAUGCUUGCAUCAUGAUUUACAUUUGAGUGAGUGGCGAACUGGUGAGUAACACGUGGGAAACCUGCCCAGAAGCGGGGGAUAACACCUGGAAACAGAUGCUAAUACCGCAUAACAACUUGGACCGCAUGGUCCGAGUUUGAAAGAUGGCUUCGGCUAUCACUUUUGGAUGGUCCCGCGGCGUAUUAGCUAGAUGGUGAGGUAACGGCUCACCAUGGCAAUGAUACGUAGCCGACCUGAGAGGGUAAUCGGCCACAUUGGGACUGAGACACGGCCCAAACUCCUACGGGAGGCAGCAGUAGGGAAUCUUCCACAAUGGACGAAAGUCUGAUGGAGCAACGCCGCGUGAGUGAAGAAGGGUUUCGGCUCGUAAAACUCUGUUGUUAAAGAAGAACAUAUCUGAGAGUAACUGUUCAGGUAUUGACGGUAUUUAACCAGAAAGCCACGGCUAACUACGUGCCAGCAGCCGCGGUAAUACGUAGGUGGCAAGCGUUGUCCGGAUUUAUUGGGCGUAAAGCGAGCGCAGGCGGUUUUUUAAGUCUGAUGUGAAAGCCUUCGGCUCAACCGAAGAAGUGCAUCGGAACUGGGAAACUUGAGUGCAGAAGAGGACAGUGGAACUCCAUGUGUAGCGGUGAAAUGCGUAGAUAUAUGGAAGAACACCAGUGGCGAAGGCGGCUGUCUGGUCUGUAACUGACGCUGAGGCUCGAAAGUAUGGGUAGCAAACAGGAUUAGAUACCCUGGUAGUCCAUACCGUAACGAUGAAUGCUAAGUGUUGGAGGGUUUCCGCCCUUCAGUGCUGCAGCUAACGCAUUAAGCAUUCCGCCUGGGGAGUACGG